rnacentral:rRNA from 1 species
GUAACGGCGAGUGAAGCGGUAACAGCUCAAAUUUGAAAUCUGGCCUCACGGUCCGAGUUGUAAUUUGUAGAGGAUGCUUCGAGCAUGGUCUGGCCUAAGUUCCUUGGAACAGGACGUCAUAGAGGGUGAGAAUCCCGUAUGCGGCCAGGUGCCUACGCUCAUGUGAAGCUCCUUCGACGAGUCGAGUUGUUUGGGAAUGCAGCUCAAAAUGGGUGGUAAAUUUCAUCUAAAGCUAAAUAUUGGCCAGAGACCGAUAGCGCACAAGUAGAGUGAUCGAAAGAUGAAAAGCACUUUGGAAAGAGAGUUAAACAGUACGUGAAAUUGUUGAAAGGGAAGCGCUUGCAACCAGACUUGCGCGCGGCCGAUCAUCCGGUGUUCUCACCGGUGCACUCGGCCGUGCUCAGGCCAGCAUCGGUUUUGGCGGCUGGAUAAAGGCCCUAGGAAUGUAGCUCCUCUCGGGGAGUGUUAUAGCCUAGGGUGCAAUGCAGCCUGCUGGGACCGAGGACCGCGCUUCGGCUAGGAUGCUGGCGUAAUGGUUGUAAGCGGCCCGUCUUGAAACACGGACCAAGGAGUCUAACAUCUAUGCGAGUGUUUGGGUGUCAAACCCAUACGCGUAAUGAAAGUGAACGGAGGUGAGAACCCUUAAGGGUGCAUCAUCGACCGGUCCUGAAGUUUACGGAAGGAUCUGAGUAAGAGCAUAGCUGUUGGGACCCGAAAGAUGGUGAACUAUGCCUGAAUAGGGUGAAGCCAGAGGAAACUCUGGUGGAGGCUCGCAGCGGUUCUGACGUGCAAAUCGAUCGUCAAAUUU